rnacentral:snoRNA from 1 species
AUAGUUUAAAAAAUUUGUUAAGCAUGAUGAUUAACUUUUCACAAUAAUGCAAUAAUGUGUGAGCUGUGCCUCUCUCAAACCUUAUGAUGCUGGCCCAUUACCCAUCUGAUG